GCAUUAAUGGGGUAGUGGUAACCUGGGUCGUUGCCAUUCAACACUCCUUCCAUGUUGAGCGGCUCUCGACCCGCCGGGGGUUCGAUUCCCCCUUAAUGCA